rnacentral:rRNA from 1 species
GUCUACGGCAUGCUACCCUGAACAAGCCCAAUCCCAUCUGAUCUUGAAAGCUAAGCAGGGUCGGGCCUGGUUAAUACUUGGAUGGGAAACCACCUAGGAAGACCAGGUGCUGUAGGUA